rnacentral:sRNA from 1 species
UAUCUAAACAUUGCUGCCAUCUAAUAGGA